GACAGAGGUGCCAAGCGUUAGGCGGAAUCACUGGGCUUAAAGCGUGUGUAGGCGGACUGGUAAGUACCUUGUGAAAUCCCACAGCUCAACUGUGGAACUGCUCGGUAUACUGCUUUUCUUGAGCCACUUAGGGGCUGUCGGAACAAACGGUGGAGCGGUGAAAUGCGUAGAUAUUACGAAGAACACCAAUGGCGAAGGCAGCUUGCUGGGCCACACCUGACACUAAGGCACGAAAGCGUGGGGAGCGAACAGG
rnacentral:rRNA from 1 species